UACAGAGGUCCCAAGCGUUAAUCGGAAUUACUGGGCGUAAAGCGUGCGCAGGCGGUUGUGCAAGACCGAUGUGAAAUCCCUGGGCUUAACCUGGGAAUGGCAUUGGUGACUGCACGGCUAGAGUGUGUCAGAGGGGGGUAGAAUUCCACGUGUAGCAGUGAAAUGCGUAGAGAUGUGGAGGAAUACCGAUGGCGAAGGCAGCCCCCUGGGAUAACACUGACGCUCAUGCACGAAAGCGUGGGGAUCAAACAGG
rnacentral:rRNA from 1 species